rnacentral:tRNA from 2 species
AGCGCGGUGGGGUAGCUAGGUUGGCCCACAGGGCUCAUAACCCUGGGAUCGGUGGUUCGAAUCCACCCCGCGCUACCA